rnacentral:lncRNA from 1 species
UUCCGGCCAUUAAUGGUGAUUGUAGAGAAAAAUAGGUAUUUAUAGAAAGGAAAUGAAAAUGGAGUUUUAGAGGGUUUUUGGUGGAGAAAUGAAAAAGUGAAGUUUGGAAAUGGUAACGGCUUGGAGUUAUAAUGAGAAAGUUGGGAUUUUUUUGUGAACUUUGGUGGAGUUUGGAGAAGAAGAAAAUGGGUUUGGAGAGGUUGAAGAAGGUGAAAAUGGUGAAAAAUAAGGAUUAUGUCCGUUAAAGUUCUAGACAUCAUGGCGCCCGCCAUGAAGCUUAUGGCGCCCGCCUGACUUCGGUGUGGUUGGGCCGUAUUUGGUCAUUGCAACU